rnacentral:rRNA from 1 species
CAAAUAGUUAGCGCUUGCUCCGAUCUGGUGCUUCCGUUCAGCACCGGCUGGAUGAGGCCGCGGCGAUCGGAUGGGCCUGAGCCAGGAUCAAACUCUGCCUGAUGGAGGGGGAUAACUACUGGAAACGGUAGCUAAUACCGCAUAACGUCGCAAGACCAAAGUGGGGGACCUUCGGGCCUCAUGCCAUCAGAUGUGCCCAGAUGGGAUUAGCUAGUAGGUGGGGUAACGGCUCACCUAGGCGACGAUCCCUAGCUGGUCUGAGAGGAUGACCAGCCACACUGGAACUGAGACACGGUCCAGACUCCUACGGGAGGCAGCAGUGGGGAAUAUUGCACAAUGGGCGCAAGCCUGAUGCAGCCAUGCCGCGUGUGUGAAGAAGGCCUUCGGGUUGUAAAGCACUUUCAGCGGGGAGGAAGGCGAUAAGGUUAAUAACCUUGUCGAUUGACGUUACCCGCAGAAGAAGCACCGGCUAACUCCGUGCCAGCAGCCGCGGUAAUACGGAGGGUGCAAGCGUUAAUCGGAAUUACUGGGCGUAAAGCGCACGCAGGCGGUCUGUCAAGUCGGAUGUGAAAUCCCCGGGCUCAACCUGGGAACUGCAUUCGAAACUGGCAGGCUAGAGUCUUGUAGAGGGGGGUAGAAUUCCAGGUGUAGCGGUGAAAUGCGUAGAGAUCUGGAGGAAUACCGGUGGCGAAGGCGGCCCCCUGGACAAAGACUGACGCUCAGGUGCGAAAGCGUGGGGAGCAAACAGGAUUAGAUACCCUGGUAGUCCACGCCGUAAACGAUGUCGAUUUGGAGGUUGUGCCCUUGAGGCGUGGCUUCCGGAGCUAACGCGUUAAAUCGACCGCCUGGGGAGUACGGCCGCAAGGUUAAAACUCAAAUGAAUUGACGGGGGCCCGCACAAGCGGUGGAGCAUGUGGUUUAAUUCGAUGCAACGCGAAGAACCUUACCUGGUCUUGACAUCCACAGAACUUUCCAGAGAUGGAUUGGUGCCUUCGGGAACUGUGAGACAGGUGCUGCAUGGCUGUCGUCAGCUCGUGUUGUGAAAUGUUGGGUUAAGUCCCGCAACGAGCGCAACCCUUAUCCUUUGUUGCCAGCGGUUAGGCCGGGAACUCAAAGGAGACUGCCAGUGAUAAACUGGAGGAAGGUGGGGAUGACGUCAAGUCAUCAUGGCCCUUACGACCAGGGCUACACACGUGCUACAAUGGCAUAUACAAAGAGAAGCGACCUCGCGAGAGCAAGCGGACCUCAUAAAGUAUGUCGUAGUCCGGAUUGGAGUCUGCAACUCGACUCCAUGAAGUCGGAAUCGCUAGUAAUCGUAGAUCAGAAUGCUACGGUGAAUACGUUCCCGGGCCUUGUACACACCGCCCGUCACACCAUGGGAGUGGGUUGCAAAAGAAGUAGGUAGCUUAACCUUCGGGAGGGCGCUUUACCCACCUUUGGUUUCCAG